rnacentral:rRNA from 1 species
UACGUAGGGUGCGAGCGUUAAUCGGAAUUACUGGGCGUAAAGCGCGUGUAGGUGGAUUGGUGUGUCAGAUGUGAAAGCCCUGGGCUCAACCCAGGAACUGCACCUGAAACUACCAGUCUUGAGUGGUGGAGAGGGAAGUGGAAUUCCUGGUGUAGAGGUGAAAUUCGUAGAUAUCAGGAGGAACACCGGUGGCGAAGGCGGGUCUCUGGGCCGAUACUGACGCUGAGGAGCGAAAGCGUGGGGAGCGAACAGG